GACGAACCGUGCGACCGUUAUUCGGAAUCACUGGGCUUAAAGCGCGUGUAGGCGGGGCGGCACGUCGGCCGUUGAAAUCCCCCGGCUCAACCGGGGAAGGGGCGCCGAUACGACCGCCCUCGAGGGGCGUAGGGGGAGCCGGAACUUCCGGUGGAGCGGUGAAAUGCGUAGAUAUCAGAAGGAACGCCGGUGGCGAAAGCGGCUCACUGGACUGGUAUUGACGCUGAGGUGCGAAAGCGUGGGGAGCAAACAGG
rnacentral:rRNA from 1 species